CAGAACGUAGCUAAGACAGACCAAAGCAUCUCCCUUACACUGAGAAGACAUCCGUGCAAACCGGAUCGCUCUGA